rnacentral:rRNA from 1 species
AGUGGCGAACGGGUGAGUAACACGUGGGUAACCUGCCCAUCAGAAGGGGAUAACACUUGGAAACAGGUGCUAAUACCGUAUAACACUAUUUUCCGCAUGGAAGAAAGUUGAAAGGCGCUUUUGCGUCACUGAUGGAUGGACCCGCGGUGCAUUAGCUAGUUGGUGAGGUAACGGCUCACUAAGGCCACGAUGCAUAGCCGACCUGAGAGGGUGAUCGGCCACACUGGGACUGAGACACGGCCCAGACUCCUACGGGAGGCAGCAGUAGGGAAUCUUCGGCAAUGGACGAAAGUCUGACCGAGCAACGCCGCGUGAGUGAAGAAGGUUUUCGGAUCGUAAAACUCUGUUGUUAGAGAAGAACAAGGAUGAGAGUAGAACGUUCAUCCCUUGACGGUAUCUAACCAGAAAGCCACGGCUAACUACGUGCCAGCAGCCGCGGUAAUACGUAGGUGGCAAGCGUUGUCCGGAUUUAUUGGGCGUAAAGCGAGCGCAGGCGGUUUCUUAAGUCUGAUGUGAAAGCCCCCGGCUCAACCGGGGAGGGUCAUUGGAAACUGGGAGACUUGAGUGCAGAAGAGGAGAGUGGAAUUCCAUGUGUAGCGGUGAAAUGCGUAGAUAUAUGGAGGAACACCAGUGGCGAAGGCGGCUCUCUGGUCUGUAACUGACGCUGAGGCUCGAAAGCGUGGGGAGCGAACAGGAUUAGAUACCCUGGUAGUCCACGCCGUAAACGAUGAGUGCUAAGUGUUGGAGGGUUUCCGCCCUUCAGU